UACGAGGGGGGCGAGCGUUGUUCGGAAUUAUUGGGCGUAAAGGGUGCGUAGGCGGUUUGGUAAGUCUCGUGUGAAAUCUCCGGGCUCAACUCGGAGCCUGCACGAGAAACUGCCGGGCUUGAGUGUGGGAGAGGUGAGUGGAAUUCCUGGUGUAGCGGUGAAAUGCGUAGAUAUCAGGAGGAACACCUGUGGCGAAAGCGGCUCACUGGACCAUAACUGACGCUGAUGCACGAAAGCUGGGGGGAGCAAACAGG
rnacentral:rRNA from 1 species